rnacentral:rRNA from 1 species
UACGGGGGGGAGCAAGCGUUGUUCGGAUUUACUGGGCGUAAAGGGCGCGUAGGCGGCGUGACAAGUCACUUGUGAAAUCUCCGGGCUUAACUCGGAACGGUCAAGUGAUACUGUCGUGCUAGAGUACAGAAGGGGCAACUGGAAUUCUCGGUGUAGCGGUGAAAUGCGUAGAUAUCGAGAGGAACACCUGCGGCGAAGGCGGGUUGCUGGUCCAGCACCGACGUCAGGCACGAAAGCGUGGGGGAGCAAACAGG